AAAACUUUAGGUUAAACAAACCUUUAGCCUUCAAAGUUAAAAAUAAAAAUAAAUUUUAAGUUUUA
rnacentral:tRNA from 1 species